UACGUAGGAUGCAAGCGUUGUCCGGAAUUAUUGGGCGUAAAGAGCGCGCAGGCGGUCUAUCAAGUCAGAUGUGAAAUAUCCCGGCUUAACCGGGAGGGGUCAUUUGAAACUGGUAGGCUAGAGUACAGCAGAGGAUAGUGGAAUUCCCGGUGUAGCGGUGAAAUGCGUAGAUAUCUGGAGGAACACCGGUGGCGAAGGCGGCAUCCUGGACCGGCAUUGACGCUGAGGCGCGAAAGCUAGGGGAGCAAACGGG
rnacentral:rRNA from 1 species